ensembl:rRNA 5S_rRNA 5S ribosomal RNA
GUCUACGGCCAUACCACCCUGAAUGUGCCCGAUCUCGCCUGAUCUCGGAAGCUAAGCAGAGUCGGGCCUGGUUAGUACUUGGACGGGAGGAUCAGCAAUGUGGUACUGGGGCU